rnacentral:tRNA from 1 species
AAAGGUAUAGCUCAGUGGUAGAGCUCAUGCUUAGCAUGUGUAGCGUCAUGGGUUCAAUCCCCAGUACCUCCA